CGGACGGGUGAGUAACGCGUGGAUAACCUGCCGUAUACUGGGGGAUAACACUUAGAAAUAGGUGCUAAUACCGCAUAAGCGCACAGCUUCGCAUGAAGCGGUGUGAAAAACUCUGGUGGUAUACGAUGGUUCCGCGUCUGAUUAGCUAGUUGGUGGGGUAAUGGCCUACCAAGGCAACGAUCAGUAGCCGGCCUGAGAGGGUGAACGGCCACAUUGGGACUGAGACACGACCCAAACUCCUACGGAAGGCAGCAG
rnacentral:rRNA from 1 species